rnacentral:lncRNA from 1 species
CAGGAUUCCGGGGACUGGAGGGCAGCGCCGGCAGCCAAGAUGCAACUUCUCCAGGAGUGCUUAUGUUACCCAAAGAGAAACAGAUGCACAAAGAGAAGGAAUGAGAUGCUCGGGGAUAUUUUAUCAAGGAAACCAGCAAACCGUCUUUUUCCUGAAGACCUUUUAAGAUUAGGACAAGCAGCUGUUUAUAAAAGCAGAACAGUGUUAAGAUUUGAACUGUAAAGUAGGAUCAUGCUUUGAAGUAUAUUCUAGCUAAAAGCAGGGGAUAAACUAGAUAAAACUUGGAGACUCUAAGACCUGACCCUGAUUAAGUGGGCCUACAAGUGAGAAUCUGAAGAACAGCUCUCUGGCUGAACAUAUCCCUUGGAUGUUGUUAUUACCAGCUGCCUCUAGAUUUGAGAACAGUGCUGAGCAUGCUUUUAAAUGAUCUUUGAGGUACUUUAAGCUAGCUACACCUGAAAGCAUACCUAGCCCUCAUUUCUGUUUGCUUGAACAAGAGCCUGAAAAAGAAGUCUAAAGAACUUUCUAGUGAUAUCCUUCAGUCCUGUUCUAAAAAGAACCUGUGUUCUUCACCGAGUUAAGGAAAUUUCACAACUCCCAGGGGCUAAUGUGGAGUUCAUUUUCACUUACUGCUGAAUCAACUGAAGUUCCUUUCAGAGUCUUUUCCUAGAGUGGAAAAGUAUCUGAGCUCUUCAACCUACUAUUCAUUAGUGCUGAGAG